UACGUAGGGUGCAAGCGUUGUCCGGAAUUAUUGGGCGUAAAGAGCUCGUAGGCGGUUUGUUGCGUCGGCUGUGAAAUCCCGAGGCUCAACCUCGGGUCUGCAGUCGAUACGAGCAAACUAGAGUGUUGCAGGGGAGACUGGAAUUCCAGGUGUAGCGGUGAAAUGCGUAGAUAUCUGGAGGAACACCGGUGGCGAAGGCGGCAUCCUGGACCGACACUGACACUGAGGAGCGAAAGCCAGGGGAGCAAACGGG
rnacentral:rRNA from 1 species